AUACAGGGUGACAGCCCCGUACACAAAAGCGCAUGUGCUGUGAGCUCGAUGAGUAGGGCGGGACACGUGGUAUCCUGUCUGAAUAUGGGGGGACCAUCCUCCAAGGCUAAAUACUCCUGACUGACCGAUAGUGAACCAGUACCGUGAGGGAAAGGCGAAAAGAACCCCGGCGAGGGGAGUGAAAAAGAACCUGAAACCGUGUACGUACAAGCAGUGGGAGCACAGGUUUACCUGUGUGACUGCGUACCUUUUGUAUAAUGGGUCAGCGACUUAUAUUCUGUAGCAAGGUUAACCGUAUAGGGGAGCCGAAGGGAAACCGAGUCUUAACCGGGCGUUAAGUUGCAGGGUAUAGACCCGAAACCCGGUGAUCUAGCCAUGGGCAGGUUGAAGGUUGGGUAACACUAACUGGAGGACCGAACCGACUAAUGUUGAAAAAUUAGCGGAUGACCUGUGGCUGGGGGUGAAAGGCCAAUCAAACCGGGAGAUAGCUGGUUCUCCCCGAAAGCUAUUUAGGUAGCGCCUCGUGAAUUCAUCUCCGGGGGUAGAGCACUGUUUCGGCUAGGGGGCCAUCCCGGCUUACCAACCCGAUGCAAACUGCGAAUACCGGAGAAUGUUAUCACGGGAGACACACGGCGGGUGCUAACGUCCGUCGUGAAGAGGGAAACAACCCAGACCGCCAGCUAAGGUCCCAAAGUCAUGGUUAAGUGGGAAACGAUGUGGGAAGGCCCAGACAGCCAGGAUGUUGGCUUAGAAGCAGCCAUCAUUUAAAGAAAGCGUAAUAGCUCACUGGUCGAGUCGGCCUGCGCGGAAGAUGUAACGGGGCUAAACCAU
rnacentral:rRNA from 1 species